rnacentral:rRNA from 1 species
UAAAUAGCCCGACCAGCUUUUGCUGGCUGCUGGCUUCUUAGAGGGACUAUCGGCUCAAGCCGAUGGAAGUUUGAGGCAAUAACAGGUCUGUGAUGCCCUUAGAUGUCCUGGGCCGCACGCGCGCUACACUGACAGAGACAACGAGUUCACUCCUUGGCCGGAAGGU